rnacentral:rRNA from 1 species
CCUACGGGAGGCAGCAGUAAGGAAUAUUGGUCAAUGGUGGAAACACUGAACCAGCCAUGCCGCGUGGAGGAAUAAGGUCCUACGGAUUGUAAACUCCUUUUGACGAGGAAGAAAGUGUUAGAUUUAUCUAAUUUUGACGGUACUCGUAGAAUAAGCACCGGCUAACUCCGUGCCAGCAGCCGCGGUAAU